AUUAAAAGUGAAAAUAAGUUUCAGUUUUGUUAGUGUUCAAAUCUAUUUGUCUUAAUGUCUCGUGAAUUUCUAAUCUACAUUUAGGUAAUUUUGGAAACUGCUUUCGCCUGUCUCUGUAUAAGGACAUAGGAACAUUUUUCAAGUCAAUGUAUAUUCAAAUAUUUAUAAUUUACCAAGUAAGUUUCCGGGAAAGUAAUAAAUACAAAUUGCGGAAACGUAUACUCUAAAUUUGCGGAAACGUAGCAUUGGGACUUUGAAAAAUUAGCGGA
rnacentral:lncRNA from 1 species